rnacentral:lncRNA from 1 species
AAUGUAUUUGCCUCGAUACGGUAACCAAUCAGCAAAAUUCAGCUUUCGGCGGAAGGGAGUGUGACCAACUUAAUCCAUCAGUUAGUCCAUCACUUUCCCAGACAUUUUGCAUCUUUCGAAUCGGUAUGAUGGUGACGAUUGUGCGAUGGCGAUGGCGAUGGCGAUGAUGAAUCGUGGGCGUGACAUGCGUUGAUCGAAAGUUAUCCCAACUCUUCCC